rnacentral:rRNA from 1 species
AGUAAAAGUCGUAACAAGGUCUCCGUUGGUGAACCAGCGGAGGGAUCAUUAUAGAGUUUUCAAAACUCCCAAACCCAUGUGAACUUACCAUUGUUGCCUCGGCGGGACCUACCCUGUACCUACCCUGGAGCGGCCUACCCUGUAGCGCUUACCCUGGAGCGGGUUUACCCGGUACCGUGUCGCCGGUGGAUUUUUAAACUAUGUUAUUUUAGUGGAAUCUGAGCGUCUUAUUAUUAAAUAAGUCAAAACUUUCAACAACGGAUCUCUUGGUUCUGGCAUCGAUGAAGAACGCAGCGAAAUGCGAUAAGUAAUGUGAAUUGCAGAAUUCAGUGAAUCAUCGAAUCUUUGAACGCACAUUGCGCCCAUUAGUAUUCUAGUGGGCAUGCCUGUUCGAGCGUCAUUUCAACCCUUAAGCCUAGCUUAGUGUUGGGAAUCUACUGUUCGAGUGUGUCUACCCUGUAGCCCACCCUGUAGUUCCUGAAAAUCAACGGCGGAUCUAUGGUGUCCUCUGAGCGUAGUAAAUCUAUCUCGCUUUUGUUAGGUUCCAUAGCUCUAGCCGCUAAACCCCCUAUUUUUAAAUGGUUGACCUCGGAUCAGGUAGGAAUACCCGCUGAACUUAAGCAUAUCAAUAAGCGGAGGAAAAGAAACCAACAGGGAUUGCCUCAGUAACG